UUGAAUCAAACUUUUAAAACAGAGAUACAGAAAACUCUUCAUGAAAAGAUUUUUUUGUCUUCCUUUCUUUGUAUGUUUGAUAUACAGAUAACUGUUAACAGUAUUCUGAUUUCCAUUAUUCACAUUUCUGUAGUGACAAGGAUCAAGUAUCUGCAGGCAUUUCUUUGUCCCGGGAAAAGCAGAUUUUUUCAAGGAAAUGAUGUGUUGAUAUAUAAUAGAACAUACAUAAAUACUUUUGCUAGCUGUGCAGUUAGUUAGAAAGUGUUGAUGUUUUGACAUUGGGUGGCUGUUGGUCACUGCAGAUGGAAUUGCUGAAAGAAAUUUACAUAACCUGUUAAGAGACCAAUCAUUGUUGCACUAGAUUAGGUACUCAAGUUAGUUUACAGAAUUUUGAUUAUUUUUGGUUGGCUUGGUAUGAGAUUGGCUUUCGAUUAUAUGCUUCAAUUGGGUCUAAUGACUCUUCCCUGUCAUUGUAAAUGGAAUCAGUGGAGAUAGGUCAAUGACAAGGUUGAUUAUAGACCAGGGCUUACAGAAGCUAAUCAUCUGCAGUCUUCAUUUACAUACAUGCUUCUGCUGUUGGCUUCCAGCCAAGGCUGGUGUAGUAUAGUACAUGAAUUUUGGAGUCAUUAUUGAUCAUAUAUUUCCAACAAGUGUGAUGAGGUGGAGUUGGCUUAAGUUGAAAUGUUUAGUGGAAAACAUUGGUUCGUUAAAAGUAGCAGUGGAUCUACAGCUCUUUUUUGAGAAUGAAUUGCUAUUAUGUUUGCUGUCUACACUGAGGUGUGGCAUGAAGCCUUUCUCUCGUCUCCUUUAUACCUUGGUGGAUCUGUGUUUCCGGACACUUUUCCUUUUGAAAGUUGAGAUCCCGUUCAGAGGCUGACAGACUUGUCCCUAGAAGAAAGGGUGGCUUCUGUCAACAGACGCUGGACUGUGCAGGGCAGCUGCAGUGGUUCUGGCUGGUUGCUGUGGUCAGUGGGAGUCGUGGCAUGUUCCUGGGGGCAGUCACAUCUCUGAACAUUUCCUUUAUGACAGUUAGUGCAGUUUUAAAAAAGGAAAAAUCUUCAAUGUUAACCUUUUUUCUGUCUCUUAUUUCUACCCUUUAAGAUUAUCUUUAUGACUUCUAAGGAUAUUUUAAGCUCACAGUCACACUUGGAAGCAGUGCCCUUGUAAGGCUCUGCCUAGUGUGGCUGUAUUAGAAAGGUCAUUCCUGGUUCUUACAUGUGCUUCUCCUUUCCACGUCUCCCACUGGCGUGCUGACUUUCCAAGGGGAACGUGAAGCUGUCCGCAGUCCUUGCCCUUGCCCUUUCUUUUGGAGACUGUGUGAAUGAGCAGCAGCCACUUUAAUGUGAGGCAGCCAUAUAAACAAUGAACUUUCACUUGCUGCCAGGAGGUCAUAAACUCAAGGUCACCAAAUGAAUUCUAGCUUCAGCUCUUGGUUUAGUAAUGUACCAAGUUUGGUAUUACUUUUUGUUUGUUUUAAUCAGGUUUCUGCCCUCAUCUUCUAUUUGGGAAAUUAAAACUGGUCUGUUGGCAUGGCUGGUGACUGAGCGGCAGGCACAUUCUUAGUCUCUGACUUUCUGCAGCCAUCUUUGAGUGCAUAUAAGUGUUGGGUAACAGUCUACUGAAUGUGCUACAAGUGUGCGGAGUUGUGUUCAUCUUUAACUUGUUUUUUUUAAAAAACACUCUCUUGGUAAAUUGGGAUCUCCUGUUGAAAACUGUAUUUGUUUGGCAGUUGAGUUUAUGCCUGGAGCCCCUAGAGCACAUUUAACUGGUUGGUGGUCAGUUGUACCAUACUG
rnacentral:lncRNA from 1 species